AACGAACGCUGGCGGCAUGCCUAACACAUGCAAGUCGAACGAGACCUUCGGGUUUACUGGCGCAUGGGUCAGUAACGCGUUGGAACAUGCCUUUAGGUUCGGAAUAACUCCCCGAAAGGGGUGCUAAUACCGGCUAAUGUCUCCGGUCCAACGUUUUAUCGCCUUUGGAUGGGCUCGCGUUGGAUUAGCUAGUUGGUAGCGUAAAAGCCUACCAAGGCGACGAUCCAUAGCUGGUAUGAGAGGAUGAUCAGCCACACUGGGACUGAGACACGGCCCAGACUCCUACGGGAGGCAGCAGUGGGGAAUAUUGGACAAUGGGCGAAAGCCUGAUCCAGCAAUGCCGCGUGAGUGAUGAAGGCCUGAGGGUUGUAAAGCUCUUUUACCCGGGAUUAUAAUGACAUUACCAAGAGAAUAAGCUCCGGCUAACUCCGUG
rnacentral:rRNA from 1 species